AGGUAAGGGGCAGCUCCUAGAUACAAGGACCUCACUAAUGUUGUAAGACGAGAUACCGACCUGACCAGAUUCCGCCCUGUAUAAGGUGAAGGUCAUAUAUUCUACUCAAGACGUCUCAUGAACGCUUUCUGUGACUCUUGGCGUGGGAGGGAGAUGGUAUGUGAUUGGUUGGGGAAAUAAGGUCGAGGGUUGACGGCGAUCGUGUGGGUGAGCACAACUUCCCUCACUCGGGCAAGUUAGCAGCGGGGUACCAGAGUAAG